GCCAUAAUAGUGACGGAUUGCUGUUGCAACAGGAAUUACUGACAAUUUGCAAAUCUGGAAUGACAACGGUUACACCAAGUCAAAAGAGAUCAAAAGUCAAAAGACCAGUCAGAAGACUCUUGCUGAGUAGGAGACCACGUCUGGAUCAGGUUAGAAAUUAAACAUAAAAAUAAACCGUUUAAAGAUUUAAUUAAUAAGAAUGAUACAAAAAAUUAAAAUAGUUGAUAAACAAUGUGGAAUUAACAGAUAAUGGCCUCAGUGGAGUAAGAGGAAUUUGGUCGUGGUUAAAAACCAAGGACGAGAAAAUUUAAUUCAAUCAGGAAAAUUAUCAAUGAGAUUAGGAUGAGCUUGUUAAAUUGGUUGAGAUUAAUAACCAGAGAGGUGUGAUUAGAAUUGAAACUAAUCUAAGGACGAGAUGCGAUGAUAAUUAUAUAGCGAAGGAUAUUGAGCAUGUAAAAGCCAGACAGACAGGUAGAUUGCUUAAACCUGUUAAACUGACAUGUUAUAUAGCAUAGGUGUAUGUGUGCUAUUUGUGGUAGUUUUGAAGAAUAACUGUGGUGGGAAGCACUAGCGAUAAGCAACCCCAAAUCCAGGGAGGAAUUAAAAAGCAAUAUUAAUAAUAAAAAAAAUACAAAAAAGAUUAGUAAACCUCUAACUAUGCCAAAAAUACAGAGAGAUCAAGAUUACAAAACUCCUGGAGAAAUUAAAGCAGCUUUGUGUGUUCACUGCCAAAAAUGAAAAAUUAGUUUCCCUAAAGUUGAAGUAAUAAUGACACAGCGGCUUGGAGUAAAAUAAACAGUUUGUGAUUGUUUGUGGACAGGGAAUAUGUGACUGAAUGCGAUGUAUGUCUCGAUGACAUUAAAUACCAUAAAUUGCUGGUACAUGGCAGACAUAAAGUUUGGUCUUGUAACAAGACCUUUGUUGAUUUCUCUAGUAAAGGCAAAAUUGAAGGUUCAAGAUUGCAAGUUGAUAACAUGACUUAUCAACAACAGCUGGGAUCAGGCGUCGAUUAUCUAUGGUCAUACCGUAUUAAGAGAAAUAUGGAUGACAUUCAAAGUAAAUGGCUCCCGUUGACCCCAAAGGUCUGGGAACGGAGCUGGAGUGCUUGAAAACUUGCUUUGACGUGAAGGUCAAAGCAUGCCGGCCAGAUAAGGGAACUGGAAUUAUCUGGUCUGUAGGCACCGUUGCCAAAACACUAUUAUAAAGUAAUAUAGGUGAGUGAAUAAUGGCACCUAGAAUUGAUUUUUUGAGACGAGGAGAAUCUGAUGACUCAAAUAGCAAUGUGCGUUGCCAUUUUAACUAAUUUCAACUAAUAAUGCAAAGAAGCAGAGUUCUGUGUCCUAUUGCAUUAUGGAGACAGAACAGCCAGCAAGCUGCUGUAUUAUCUCCGGGCAAGAAGCCAAUUAUGGAGGGGUUACAGCAGUCUUGUCUGAAUUAAACUAAUGUUAAAAGUUGUUUUAAACAUGACCACCACUUCUGAACCACAAAUUCUAGCAUGUGCAGUUGACAUUGAAUUGGCACA